UACGUAGGGGGCAAGCGUUGUCCGGAAUUAUUGGGCGUAAAGGGCGCGUAGGCGGUUCGCUAAGUUGACUGUGAAAACUCUGGGCUUAACCCAGAGCCUGCAUCCAAAACUGGCGAACUGGAGUACUGGAGGGGAAAGCGGAAUUCCUGGUGUAGCGGUGAAAUGCGUAGAUAUCAGGAGGAACACCGGUGGCGAAGGUGGCUUUCUGGACAGUAACUGACGCUGAGGCGCGAAAGCCGGGGGAGCAAACAGG
rnacentral:rRNA from 1 species